GUCCCCUCGGGGACAUCGGAUAAAAUUGGAACCUUACAGAGAAGAUUGCAUGGCCCUUGCGCAAGGAGACACACAAAUAUAAAUUCCACCCCUCC
rnacentral:snRNA from 1 species